AACGAACGCUGGCGGCGUGCCUAAUACAUGCAAGUAGAACGCACAGUUUAUACCGUAGCUUGCUACACCAUAGACUGUGAGUUGCGAACGGGUGAGUAACGCGUAGGUAACCUGCCUGGUAGCGGGGGAUAACUAUUGGAAACGAUAGCUAAUACCGCAUAAUAUUAAUUAUUGCAUGAUAAUUAAUUGAAAGGUGCAAUUGCACCACUACCAGAUGGACCUGCGUUGUAUUAGCUAGUAGGUGAGGUAACGGCUCACCUAGGCGACGAUACAUAGCCGACCUGAGAGGGUGAUCGGCCACACUGGGACUGAGACACGGCCCAGACUCCUACGGGAGGCAGCAGUAGGGAAUCUUCGGCAAUGGACGAAAGUCUGACCGAGCAACGCCGCGUGAGUGAAGAAGGUUUUCGGAUCGUAAAGCUCUGUUGUAAGAGAAGAACGGGUGUGAGAGUGGAAAGUUCACACUGUGACGGUAUCUUACCAGAAAGGGACGGCUAACUACGUG
rnacentral:rRNA from 1 species